GACGAACGCUGGCGGCGUGCCUAAUACAUGCAAGUAGAACGCUGAAGAGAGGAGCUUGCUCUUCUUGGAUGAGUUGCGAACGGGUGAGUAACGCGUAGGCAACCUGCCUUGUAGCGGGGGAUAACUAUUGGAAACGAUAGCUAAUACCGCAUAACAAUGGAUGACACAUGUCAUUUAUUUGAAAGGGGCAAUUGCUCCACUACAAGAUGGACCUGCGUUGUAUUAGCUAGUAGGUGAGGUAAUGGCUCACCUAGGCGACGAUACAUAGCCGACCUGAGAGGGUGAGCGGCCACACUGGGACUGAGACACGGCCCAGACUCCUACGGGAGGCAGCAGUAGGGAAUCUUCGGCAAUGGGGGCAACCCUGACCGAGCAACGCCGCGUGAGUGAAGAAGGUUUUCGGAUCGUAAAGCUCUGUUGUAAGUCAAGAACGGGUGUGAGAGUGGAAAGUUCACACUGUGACGGUAGCUUACCAGAAAGGGACGGCUAACUACGUG
rnacentral:rRNA from 1 species